CAUUACUGAAGACAAUAGGGUUUUGAGACUGCGUUUACGCGUGCUCGACUCUUACUCUUUAUCCACACACACCUUUGUGCACCAUGGGGGACGAAAGUGCCCUCCUUUCACAUAAACACCAAGUAUAUGCAUGUCUUAUCAUACUCUACGGAGUAAAUGUACAACUUUCAACAACGGAUCUCUUGGCUUUCGCAUCGAUGAAGAACGCAGCGAACGUGCGAAACGUAAUGUGAAUUGCAGAAUUCAGUGAAUCAUCGAAUCUUUGAACGCAUCUUGCGCUCCUUGGUAUUCCGAGGAGCAUGCCUGUUUGAGUGUCGUGAAUACUCUCAAUUUCAACCUUUUUGUUUGAAAUUGGACUUGGAUGUUGCUGUGAAUGAUCACAGCUCAUCCUAAAUGCAUUAGCGAUCUGCCUUGAUCACACACAAUGUGAUAAAUAAAGCAUUGUUAUAAUCAAGUCAAGACGGCUUCUAAUAGUCGAAAGACAAGCAUAUAUAUGUCAUUUGACCUCAAAUCAGGUAGGA
rnacentral:rRNA from 1 species